rnacentral:rRNA from 1 species
AUACGGAGGAUGCGAGCGUUAUCCGGAUUUAUUGGGUUUAAAGGGAGCGUAGGUGGGAUAUUAAGUCAGCUGUGAAAGUUUGGGGCUCAACCUUAAAAUUGCAGUUGAUACUGGUUUCCUUGAGUACGGUACAGGUGGGCGGAAUUCGUGGUGUAGCGGUGAAAUGCUUAGAUAUCACGAAGAACUCCGAUCGCGAAGGCAGCUCACCGGGCCGGAACUGACACUGAUGCUCGAAAGUGCGGGUAUCAAACAGGAUUAGAUACCCUGGUAGUCCGCACAGUAAACGAUGAAUACUCGCUGUUUGCGAUACACAGUAAGCGGCCAAGCGAAAGCGUUAAGUAUUCCACCUGGGGAGUACGCCGGCAACGGUGAAACUCAAAGGAAUUGGCGGGG